rnacentral:rRNA from 1 species
GUCUAUAGCCAUGCCACCCUGAUCUCAGAAGCUAAAGAGGGUCGGACCUGGUUAAUGCUUGGAUGGGAGACCACCUAGGAGACCACCUAGGAAGACCAGGUGCUGUAGGCA